GCUGGCGGUAUGCCUAACACAUGCAAGUCGUACGAGAGUUUUUAACUCUAGUGGCGGACGGGUGAGUAACACGUGAGAAUUUACCUUUAGGAGGGGGAUAACAAUUGGAAACGAAUGCUAAUACCCCAUAUGCUUUCGAGUGAAAUGGAUUUAUAUUUAUUCGCCUAAAGAGAAGCUCGCGGCUGAUUAGCUUGUUGGUAAGGUAAGAGCUUACCAAGGCGACGAUCAGUAUCUGGUUUGAGAGGACGAUCAGACACACUGGAACUGAGACACGGUCCAGACUCCUACGGGAGGCAGCAGUGGGGAAUUUUCCGCAAUGGGCGAAAGCCUGACGGAGCAAUACCGCGUGAGGGAAGACUGCCUAUGGGUUGUAAACCUCUUUUUUCAGGGAGGAAUAAAUGACGUGUACCUGAAGAAUAAGCAUCGG
rnacentral:rRNA from 1 species